GAAGCUGGCCAGGCAGCCGCUGGGCACCCUCGGGUGCCGGGAGGAAAGUCCGGGCUCCGCAGAGCAGGAUGCUGGCUAACGGCCAGGCGCUAUAAGCCGCAAGGCAAAGGCGACGGAAAGUGCAACAGAGAAUAGACCGCCGAUGGCCCGGGCAACCGGGAUCAGGCAAGGGUGAAACGGUGCCUGGGCGACAGUCCGGGCGAUCCGGCGCAAGCCGGCUCGGGGUAAGAGCCCACCGCGGCUGUGGCGACACAGACGGCACGGCAAACCCCAUCCGGAGCAAGACCAAAUAGGGGAGCAUUAGGCGUGGCUCGCGCUGCUCCCGGGUAGGUUGCUUGAGCGCACUGGUAACGGUGCGCCUAGAGGAAUGGUUGCCAGGCGCUUUCGGGCGUCUACAGAACCCGGCUUAUCGGCCAGCUUCACAC
rnacentral:RNase_P_RNA from 1 species